rnacentral:rRNA from 1 species
AACGAACGCUGGCGGCAGGCUUAACACAUGCAAGUCGAACGCUCGUAGCAAUACGGGAGUGGCGGACGGGUGAGUAACGCGUGGGAACGUGCCCUGAGGUACGGAAUAACUGAGGGAAACUUCAGCUAAUACCGUAUGAGCCCCGAGAGGGGAAGAUUUAUCGCCUUGGGAGCGGCCCGCGUCGGAUUAGCUAGUUGGUGGGGUAACGGCCUACCAAGGCUUCGAUCCGUAGCUGGUCUGAGAGGACGAUCAGCCACACUGGGACUGAGACACGGCCCAGACUCCUACGGGAGGCAGCAGUGGGGAAUCUUGCGCAAUGGGGGCAACCCUGACGCAGCCAUGCCGCGUGAACGAUGAAGGCCUUAGGGUUGUAAAGUUCUUUUACCCGUGACGAUGAUGACGGUAACGGGGGAAUAAGCUCCGGCUAACUUCGUGCCAGCAGCCGCGGUAAAGU